CGACCGGCGCACGGGUGCGUAACGCGUAUGCAACCUACCUUUAACAGGGGGAUAACACUGAGAAAUUGGUACUAAUACCCCAUAAUAUCAUAGAAGGCAUCUUUUAUGGUUGAAAAUUCCGAUGGUUAGAGAUGGGCAUGCGUUGUAUUAGCUAGUUGGUGGGGUAACGGCUCACCAAGGCGACGAUACAUAGGGGGACUGAGACGGUUAACCCCCCACACUGGUACUGAGACACGGUCCAA
rnacentral:rRNA from 1 species